rnacentral:rRNA from 1 species
GUCCACGCCCUAAACGAUGGAUACUCGACAUACGCGAUACAUUGUGUGUGUCUGAGCGAAAGCAUUAAGUAUCCCACCUGGGAAGUACGUUCGCAAGAAAUGAAAACUCAAAAGGGAAUUGGCGGGGGUCCGCACAAGCGGUGGAGUAUGUGGUUUAUUCGAUGAUACGCGAGGAACCUUACCUGGCUAGAAUGCUGGGAGACCGUGGGUGAAAGCUCACUUUGUAGCAAUACACUGCCAGUAAGGUGCUGCAUGGCUGUCGU